CUUAAAGGGAAGAAGCAGUACCGAAAGGAGCUGUGGACUUUUAAGAAGAGAGAAUGCCGGAAUGAGUAGCGAGAGGAAGGUGAGAAUCCUUCCGGCCGAAUAUCUAAGGUUUCCAGAGUAAAGCUGAUCUGCUCUGGGUAAGUCGGGGCCUAAGGCGAGGACGAGAGUCGUAGCCGAUGGACAACAGGUGGAGAUUCCUGUACUGCGGUAUGACAGAACUGUGGGGACACGUAAGGAAAGCGGAAGCCGGGAAUGGAGAGCCCGGUGCAAGCGGGGUACCAGUCACUUUGGCAAAUCCGGGUGGCAAUGGGAAGCCGUGAUGCGGAGCGAAAUAAAGUAGCGAAGUCCGUGAGCCAUGCGUCAAGAAAAGCCGCUAUUGUUUAUACCGUACCCGUACCGUAAACCGACACAGGUGGAUGAGGAGAGAAUCCUAAGGCCGGCGGGAGAAGCAUUGUUAAGGAACUCGGCAAAAUGACCCCGUAACUUCGGGAGAAGGGGUGCCUGCGAGAGCAGGCCGCAGAGAAUAGGCUCAAGCAACUGUUUAGCAAAAACACAGGUCUAUGCGAAACCGAAAGGUGAGGUAUAUGGGCUGACGCCUGCCCGGUGCUGGAAGGUUAAGAGGAGAGGUUAGCGCAAGCGAAGCUUUGAAUUUAAGCCCCAGUAAACGGCGGCCGUAACUAUAACGGUCCUAAGGUAGCGAAAUUCCUUGUCGGGUAAGUUCCGACCCGCACGAAAGGCGUAAUGAUUUGAGCGCUGUCUCGACAAUGCAUCCGGUGAAAUUGAAGUACCAGUGAAGAUGCUGGUUACCUGCGCCAGGACGGAAAGACCCCAUGGAGCUUUACUCCAGUUUGAUACUGGGAUUCGGUAUUGCAUGUACAGGAUAGGUGGGAGGCUGUGAAGCGAUGACGCCAGUUGUCGCAGAGCCGCUGUUGGGAUACCACCCCUGCAGUACUGGGUUUCUAACCUGCGGCCGUGAACCGGCCGGGGGACAAUGUCUGACGGGGAGUUUGACUGGGGCGGUCGCCUCCGAAAGGGUAUCGGAGGCGCUCAAAGGUUCCCUCAGAAUGGUUGGAAACCAUUCGAAGAGUGCAAAGGCAGAAGGGAGCUUGACUGCGACACCGACGGGUGGAGCAGGUACGAAAGUAGGACUUAGUGAUCCGGUGGUAUAAAGUGGGAUUGCCAUCGCUCAACGGAUAAAAGCUACCCUGGGGAUAACAGGCUUAUCACUCCCAAGAGUUCACAUCGACGGAGUGGUUUGGCACCUCGAUGUCGGCUCAUCGCAUCCUGGGGCUGUAGUAGGUCCCAAGGGUUGGGCUGUUCGCCCAUUAAAGCGGUACGCGAGCUGGGUUCAGAACGUCGUGAGACAGUUCGGUCCCUAUCCGGCGUGGGCGUAGGAUAUCUGAGAGGAGCUGUCCUUAGUACGAGAGGACCGGGAUGGACGGACCACUGGUGUAUCUGUUGUCGACCAACGGCAUGGCAGAGUAGCCAAGUCUGGAAGGGAUAAACGCUGAAGGCAUCUAAGCGUGAAGCCCCCCUCAAGAUGAGAUAUCCCAUUCGAAAGAAGUAAGACCCCUUGAAGACGACGAGGUAGAUAGGGCAGAGGUGGAAGUGCAGUAAUGUACGGAGCUGACUGUUACUAAUCGGUCGAGGGCUUAUCCA
rnacentral:rRNA from 1 species